rnacentral:sRNA from 1 species
GGUUUAUUCUUAUUCCUGUAUCUUUGAGAGAGGAAGAGAGUGGGAUUGCUACCCACAUUUUAAUGAAGGUGGAGCUGAGCCCUAGAACUCUCUGGGAGCCAUCCAACCUGGCUGUGGCUUAUAACAAGGCCCAGAGCAGGGGCUGUUGCCGAAAGGCUGUGGAGCAACAAGUUGACAUCUGACCUGACAUUUGCCUAUGAACGUUUGUCACACUUCCGCUGUGAGUUGCUGAGGUAAGCAAGCUGUGGGGCCUUCGCAAGGCGGAGUAGGGCAGAUCCAGGGCUGGGGAACCCCUUAGAGAGAGGAAGAGAAUAAUUAACAAUAGCUAACACUUACAGAGGCUUAUAGUCGGCCCUCAUCCACGGAUUCAGCCAACUGCGAUAAAAAGUAUUCAGGAAAAAAAAAUACAACAAAAAAUAAUACAAAUAAAAAAUACUGUAUAACAACU